GGAGAGCGACGCAGUGCAGCAUGGGUACUGUAGUCAGGUCGAUGAAAGGGCGGAGCUGAUGUGAGCAGGUGCACCACCUUGUCAGAAAAAAAAGUACUCCUUUGGGGUUACUUUUUACUUAGCUUAUACGGUGGCCGAGAACUGCCACUGCUGCAAAGAAAAAAGAAUGCAAAAAAAGAAGGCACAAUGGAAGUUACUGAUGGAAAAAAAAGAAACCGAAGCCUGCUGCAAAUAAAAGAAGAAACGGUGCAGAUAAAAAAAAAAAAGAAGCCACAACAGAAGUUAAUAUCGAAAAAAGUGGAAGGGUUAUUGUUUAAUUUUGCUUCGUGUGCUUUUAAUGUGUCAUUUGGUUAGGCCACGUUGUGCCUGAGUUAAUAUGAAGUUGAACUGGAGGAUGCUGGUGUAGUGUUAGCUUCAGUUCACCUUCGUAUCAACUCAGGUGUUACAGGCCUAACCAAAUGACACAUUGAAAAGCACACAAAGUGAAAUUAAAUGAUAACCUUUCCACUUCUUUGCUCAUCUUCUCUUCGUCAUCUUCUGUGCCCAGAUCGUAAAACACCGGUGCAUCAUCAUUCUUGGUCCCCGGCAGCUCACGUCCAUUGUGGCUUUUUUUCUUUUGCAUCCUUUUAUUUUCGCAGUAAGUAACUUUUUUCCAUCACCACUUUUUUUUUGUGUGUCGUUAACUUCCAUUGUGGCUUUUUUUUCCCAUCUGCACAGUUUCUCUUUUUAUUUGCAGCAGGCUUCAUUUUUUUUUUCUUUUUCUUUUGCAUCAGUAACUUCCGUUGUGACUUCUUUUUUUGCAUUCUUUUUUUAUUUGCAGCAGUGGCGGUUCUCGGCCACCAUAAACUUAACCCAAUUGAUAAUAAAAAAAAAGGAACCACAUGUUUGUUUUUAUUUUUGCCUCCAUUCUUGUUUUAAUGUGUCUAAUUUAUGUGUUAUACUGACUUUUAUAUUUAUUGUUGAAUUUUGGACAGGUGUUAUAAACUGCCUUUGUGUGGCACCAAUAAUCAUGAUCCAUACUGGUCCCAGAACAAAAUGAAGAAAGAUCAAGAAAGUAAAUGAAACUUUUAUCAGCAGGUGAACUAUAAUGCAGCAGUUUAAUUAGGCCAUACUGUUGGAAAACAACAUUAAUUAACAUAGGACUACUAUCACAUGGACUACCAAGCUUAAUCAUAGCAUUUUGUGCCUCCAAUUUUCUUUUAAACCAGUUCAAAUUUAGUGCUUUCCUACACUAUGCCACUCUGUGGAUUAUCAUUAAAAACUCAUAUCAUGUACUUCAAAUGACCUGCCACUUUUGGCAAAUGUCAUUUAAAUUGAAGUUAAUAUUAUCUGAUGAUAAUUCAAGUGGUUUCAUCUUAGAAAAUGUUUUACAUGGAUGCAGGAUCAUUAUCUUUGGAUUGAAAGGUAAUUUGAAAUGGAUCACAAAAUUUUUAAUCCAUAAAAUUAGAAGAAUAGGGGUUAUGUUACAGUCAUUGAAAUGAUGUAGACCCAGAUUAGUUUCUAAUUAAUAUUCCAGAUUAUUAUUUUAAUUUAUUUCCCCCACCAUGAUAACUUUAUGACAGUGAUUUUUGUGCAAAAGCCUGUUUAACUUAAACUCCAGCUAUAAUCAUCAUCAUUUAACCACACUGGACUUUGUUGUUCCUUCACUGCCACAAGUUUAGGCAUGAUGACCAUUCCAAUUUUUUCAACUUACAAAAAAGAGAGUUAGUUUUAAUCAUUUAUUUGCUUCAUGAUAACUUUUAAAACAUUUCUACAAAUAUUUUUUUACAGUGUUGAGGGUAACUGAGCAGUAGCGGUUUGAGUUGUAAGCUUCCUACAUAACAACCAGAGGUAGAGAAUAGCAAAUGUAGGACACAGAACAACAUCAGCAGCAGCGUUUUCUCCUGUCCAGAAAAAGACAAACUGUUUCACAUUUCUUAGGAAAGGAAUAUUCAGGAGCUAAAAACAGGAUAAGCACAAGGGACUCGAAUCAAAAGGGAUGCCAGAAAGAAGAAAGAAAUUGUGUUACAAUUUACUUUUUACUACUUUAGUAUACUGAGUUCAAAAUGUGAAUGGGGGUAAUGUAUUUUUAAAACCCUGUCAGCUGACAGUCACUGGAAUAAAAACAACUCUCUGGUAGAUCUGUCACGGGAGCCUAAUAUGAAAAAGUUUGUGCAGUUCUGGCUGCCUGAGUGAGUCUGCAGGCCUAUUUGCAUCCUGUAAACCUGUCCCAGUAAACUAAUUGGCGUUACUAAUAGAUGGCUGGAUGAACCCCAGCCCUGUAUGGUAAUGAAUUCACACGAUCUGGUGUCAUAGCUGAAGAAAUUGUUAAAAUGCAAAUGAAUGAUGACCCUGUUAUGUGUCUUUCAAUUUAGGCAUCCACAUUACCAGUGCAUGACAAUGAGCCCCUUGUUCAUGCACAAAAAUACAAUCAGGCCUCCGGUGCAGGAACAGGUCAACAUGAGGCCUGGACAGAGAACAGCUGAUUUAAGGAGAGGCCUUUUAAAAUGAGCUAAUUUGAACAAUAUUUUUAGAAGUUCAACCUUAUUUUGAUUUUAUAACUAUAAACUUACAUAAUAUAAUUGUUCAUUUCACUGUCAGACAGUCUCUUGUGUAGGAAAGUGUGUAAAAAUGCACUCUGGAUAGCCUUGCAUGCAUUGUAGUUCCUCAUGUUUUGGUGUGUAAAUGACUUUUCUACAAAAUUUUCUAAACUUCUUCACCACUUACGUAUUCCCUGUCUGAUAAGUCUCUUUUGCCACUAACAGAUGUAAAAAUACAGCACUGUCCUUGCAUGUAAACCAAUUGAGCCUGAUGUUUAUGAUAAUCUGUAACAUUUUUUCAUCCUCCAAAAAGACAAAGAUUGUGCUUUAAGAAAAAGAAAGAGUUUUCCUGGCAGGGCUUUCCACAACUGGACAGCAAAUUUAUCCCAAAAUUAUAGUUCUUUUUCAAACUUGAAUAUAGAGGAAAAUUAUCACAUUGUCGCACGUCAUCCGACAGACUUAGAGGAAAUCAGUCCAAAUGUCUUCAGAGUUAUGUAUUUAUUUUCUCAAUAAGAACAACAGUUGUAAUACAGUUUAGUUUCAUUUCCAACACUGUUUUUAGGGCACACCCUAAAGAAACUUGCCGAAGAGUCAUAUUCCUGAGCAAAUAAAGCUUUCUGUGUGAGUGAUUUUCCACUUUCUGCCUCCGGAGGUCGCUGUAGAUCCCAACUUAUACACCUUCAUUCUUUUUUCAAUUCUGUCCAAAAAAGCCAUACUUUACAGAUAAGAUCACACAGUGAAAACAUCAAAGAAGUGCUGAUGGACAGGGCAGAGACUGAAGUACUUUGUCAUUUCGUGCUUUAAUGAAGUGCUGCGUAUUUGGAUGGAAAAAAUAAAUAUUGUGUAUAUUGAAGUAAAGCAAGACAAUCAAGCAUGAAUUAGUAGGCAGUCUUAACGGUUCAUGCAAGUUCAUGUCAAGAAAAAAAAUCUGUUGAAAUCUACCAGAAAGAUCGAUUCAAGGAAAAGCCUUAGGUAACAAUUCAGACUGUUUAACUGAGUACUUCAGAGAUUCUGUCUUUGUUUGACAGUGUUAACUAUAUUCAGCUUUUCAUCAGGGUUUUAUAUUUAAAGGUGUUCAACACAGACAGCUGUUUGCAAGUAAAAAAGAAUGAUGAAGAUGAUCCUUAUCUGUACCCCAUGUGAUGCAGCCUAAAUGGCAUCUCAGCAUGCUUUCUCAGUGAUUUACUUUUUGAAAUCAUGUUAAAUUGAGCAUCCAAAAAACAGCUUAAUGUCAUCUUCUCUCCUUCUCUCCUUAAUUUUGUCUAAGAAUCAUUUGUUAAUAUCUCUUGAGCUUUUUCUUUACUUCCACUUUUCCAUUUCUUUCUGUUGACAGAGAAAUAUCCUUACAUCAGUUGCAAGUUUUCUGUGAAUUUGACUAGCAAUUUUACUGGUAAAUCUGGGGAUAAAGAUGUUUAAGCUCAUUUAAAUUCACAGUAAAUUCUGUUUUUAGCGUUUAAAGCACUAGGGGUCCAAAAUAAUAAUUUAAACCCAUAAGCAGUAGCUCAAAGGGGAUACAGAAAAGGCUAGAUUCGGGGUAAGUGCCUCACACACAUGACAUUUUAUUAGGCAACUCUUGCUGAUUUGAGGGAGGACCAUAAAGUAAAACUGUUUGUAGUAAAGUUUUAAUAAGAAUUUAAAGUGAACAUGUUAAUUUAUGACACAGAGAGUCUUCUUAAAAGUUUCAGUUUCUCUAUCAUUGGCAACAUGUUUUGCAAUAAGUGGGAAAUGUAAAUGUGUUUUGGACCUUGGCCUUUUUACCUUGGAACACUGGCAGGAAAUGAAAAAAAAAACAUAUUGUAAACAAAUGAUAGGCAGAGCAAAAUUUAUUCAAGCAAAGUGUGGUAAUAUUUUAACUAAGUGUCUGAUUUUGGUUUUAAUAAUAAUAAAAUGUCAUUAGAAUAAAUAUAAAAUUGACUCAAAACAAGCUCCAAACUUCCAGUGAAUAAACCUUAAUAAUUAAGAAACCUAAGACCACUUUCAUCCAUCUAUUUAUCAAUGAAAACAUCAUUCCAUUCAACCAUGCAUCCAUCCAUCCAUUAAAACAUCAAUUCAUUCUUCCUUCCAUCCAUCCAUUCAUCCAUCGAUCCAUCCAUCCAUGAAAAUACUAAUCCAUUCAUCAAUCUAUCUAUCCAUCCAUCCAUCGAUGAAAACAUCCAUCCAUCCAUCCAUGAAAAUACUUAUCCAUCCAUCCAUCCAUGAAAAUACUUAUCCAUUCAUCAAUCUAUCUAUCCAUCCAUCCAUGAAAACAUCCAUCUAUCCAUCCAUGAAAAUACUAAUCCAUUCAUCAAUCCAUCCAUCCAUGAAAACAUCCAUCCAUCCAUCCAUCCAUCCACGAAAAUACUAAUCCAUUUAUCAAUCUAUCCAUCCAUCUAUAAAAGCAUCCAUCCAUCCAUCCAUCCAUCGAAGAAAACAUCAAUCUGUUCAUCCAGCCAUUCAUCUAUGAAAACAUAAAUCUAUUCACUUUUUUAUACACUCUUACAUGAAAACAUUAAUUUUUUUAUCCAUUUAUCUUUUAUCUUUAAUUUAUCUUUUUACCUACCCAUCAGUGAAAGUUUCAAUUCAUCCAUUCAACCGUAAAUUUAUUCAUUCUUUUAUUAUCCUUUUUUCCAAAAAUCACCCAUCCACAUCUCCAUCCAUUUUUCAUCCCUCCAUACAAUCAUCCAUAUCAGUCCAUCAACUGGCCUUUGAUCCAUCCAUCCAUCAAUCCAUCCAGACAAUAUUGUAAAAAAAAUCUUCCUAUCUACCUACCAAGCUUUCCCUCUUUUCAUCCAUGUGUUUUCCCUUCCAUCCAUUCAUCUAUCCAUCCGUCCAUCUUUCAGUCCAAGAACCUCAACAUCAUGCAGCUGCAAGCAUUUUCCACAGUGUGUCCAACAGUUCCCCUCAUCAUUUCUGUAAUAGAGGCGAUGCAGGAGGGGAGACACUCUGGGAGACUCUGGCCGGCUGACAGAGUGAGAGGAAAGAAAGGAGGGGGGAGGCAGACAGAUGUUUGAAUCUCAGCCUGGGACCUGAUGAGAUCCAACCAUCCUCCAAGGCUUAGACAAUAACCGAGAGAAGGAAGCAAUGUCUAUUAGGACAAUUGGCUGCCCUCUUUCCUUUCUGUAUCCAAGACAGCUUGAUCAUCCUUUUUUUUCUCCUCCCAGAGGUGAGCAGUAUCUCCAAACCCAUGAUAGGUUUUAACAUCCUGAACAAAGCCUUCAAUAAGGGGGAUAGAGGUCAAUCUGUUUGAGGUGAAAUAAUGGCCAACAUAUAAUAUUUUGACGCCAGAUAGAAGACACAAAACCUCAUAGAAAAAUUUUUGGGGAUUUCAUUUAAAAAGUGCUUUUCUUGGCCUAAAAAUCAGAUCUUUUAGAUCAUAUUUCAGGAUUACAACAUGAAAUUGUUGCUUGAAGAUUCUUAAUUUGGAAAAUAGGGCUAAAAAAUACUAAGGCAGAUACUCAGUUUUUCUAUUCUAUCAUAUUUCAAUUCAAAGUACAGACUUAACGCACUUGUACCUGUCAAACAAGGCCAUAAACUUUACUUAGAGACUGACAAUGUGACAACUCCCCAAAAGUUGUGAAAAACACACCUGGUGGUGACUGGCUUCAGUUAAGGUCAUGUAAAUAACAAUUAAAAACUUUGGUCCAAAUGUGUUAUUUUGUUAUAGAGUGUAUUCUUAUUACGCUGACUUUGGGUCUGUAUCCACUAAAAGUGUCCUCCACACCACCAGGAACCUCUAUAAUUUCUGUAGGACUCUCAUCAGCGCAAACUGUUGCAGGAUUAGUUUUCCUCCUGACUCAAGAGUCAGUUACUGUAAGUUGUUCAUGCAUCGCAGACUGCGCUGACUUCAGAAAUCCUCUGUGUCUUCAAUGUAUGUUUAUCAUGUGCUUUGAUUAGUGGAGAGGUUGCGAAGUCAAAAUCAACUCCACCUGCUGAUACCCACUCCAGCACCAAAAACAUUUGCAGCAUUUGGUUUCACUACAUGGUAGGAGAAGGUGGACACAUGUUACCCUCACAAAGUCAAUGGAUAAAACCAGUACAGCUCUCUGUUCCUUACACUCUCCAAAAGAAAAAAAAAUCAAGUCUUUUGUUUUUCCAACUGAGGGUGGGAGGAAGUUGGUCAUUACAGUUUAAUAAUCUGAUAAUCUGGCCCAGUGUGGCUGCUGUUGUAGUCUGGAAUGCAGCCAUUUCGACUGAGUGUAAAAUAUUCAUGAGCAUCCAAUGGAAGCCCAUCUGACUGGCUGGGGAACAGCUGCUGGGUCUCUGUGCCUCUAGAGGUGCAGCAUCUGUCCAUUUGAAGGGAGUGAAUAUGUGUUUGUGUAAGUGUGUAAAAAGUGUGUGUCUCCAAGUGUGUGUGUCUGCCUUUCUAGACAAGUGAGUGUGUAUGAGAGCCCACACUCUGAUCUAUGUGUGUGCGUGUCUCAUGGGGACCAGACAUCAGGAGGAACAACUGUGUAUUUAACUUGCUUCUCUCCAGAUGGUGGCGGAUCAUUUUAGAAAUGAUCAAAAAGCUAGUCUCAAUUUUAUCAGGAUAUGUGCUUGUCAAUCAAAUAUCACUUUCGCUCGUACACAGGAGGAGAGCAGCAUGUGUGCAGUCGACUCUGCUGCGUGUUUAAGUGAAGAUGUCUUGUACAUCUCAAGUCUCUGCCUUUCUAUAUGCAACUGUUGUGUCUCACUAUCAGCACAUCUCAGUCUCACAGUAUGUGUGUGUGUGUACGUGUGUGUGUGUGUGUGUGGGCUGUUCGCACCCGUGCGUGUGAAGCUCACAGAGAGCUGUGCAGUUCUGGCGACGGCUGUAUGAUGGACAUCUGGAAGCCAAAUUGGUUAAUGGCGCCUCCAAGCCAACAGCCAGCCGGCCGUCCCUCCACCGAGCUAAGUGUGUGUGUGCCUGGAAGUGUGUGUGUAUUGCAGGGGGUGGGCUAAAGAAAUGGAGGGGGGGUUCUACAUCUGGCCAGUUGUCCGACCACAGACAAACAUCCCUGUUGAGCAUUUAAGGGCUUUUAUCCUCCAAUUUCUUUUCAUUAUUAUUAUUUUUAAUUUUUUGUUUGUUUUGUCAAACUUCUUUUUCUUCAUUAUCACAGAAAAAAGAAACAAACAAACAAAAAAAACAGUUUUAUUUUUGGUUCCCACAUCACAAAAAUGUUGCAUGAUGCAGCUUUAUAUUUGGGUGCUUUUUCCUGUAAGAAAUGUCUAUGUCUGUACAUAGGAACUGCACACAGCAGCUUCAAAAUAUUUUUUUUCUGCUGGGCAAACUUGGUCGCCUCUCGUAUUUUCCCAAAUGUACAAUCUUAUAUUUGAGCAACAGGAAUUCACCUGAACUCUUGUAGAGAAAGCAGCAGUGGAAGGAGUAGGCAGUAAGUAGGAUCUAAUGUUUUGGAUCGCCGAAAAUCGCCUUCAGGCAAGGAGUUCACAGCUGUGGAGAACGGACUGGUAAUGCUCGGUCACCUCUUGUGACUGGUCAAAAUUUAGGAAACCACAAGUAAGGCCCAGCUAGAGGACCUCAGGCUGCAGUCAGGCUCAUAGAGAGUUAUCAGUUCACAGCUCAAAGAAAAUGUUUGAGUUAAAAGUGAUUGCUAACUUGUGGGUGUCUUUGUGAAUAUUAUAAGGUAGGGAACCCAGGCUGAAGGACGGAUUAUAAUGUAGAUUUAGAGUCAUUCAGCAGUAGAAAAUUUUAGGACAUCUUAUUCUAGACAAUGUACAUCCCUUCACUGAAUUUGAACCCAGCACCUUUUCACUCAACAUCACAGGAUGUUUGACAAUGUGCACCUUUUCGGUCAUGUCACUUCAAUAUUUGGUAACGCUGCAUUAGAGGCCGUCUCAGAUUUUAGUUUGAAGAAAGGAUUACGUGUCCAUCCAAUGAGGGAAGUCCUAAGCCUCCAAAGCGUCCAAGCUGGGAUUCGAACCCAAAACCAUUUUGUUCCGAGGUAGCAGGGCCAAGCAUCACACCACAGGCCUGCUUGUUAAUAUUUACCUAUAAAGUUAUUUCUGUUUUAAUUUUCUAUUGCCUUGUUUCAAAAGCUUAAUAAAGACUUCAGUGUGAGAAGCGCAUUCCAUCCCUGCUUAACAUGGAAAGUUUGUGUUCAGGAUUUGAACCCUGAACUAUUCCAAUCAAAGGUGUUUGCUCACAGCAUGGGUCGGUCGUUUUAUCUCAAGUCUUUUCAUUUCACUGUUUUAUUACAAUGUUUUCAAAGCUGUGUUUAGAGUGAGUGUGGCAAAAGCAUUUAAUUCCUGCUUUGUAUGACAAACAAGGUCAUUUCUACCUUUGAGGGGUCAAUCAUGGUCUCCCUCAGGUGGUUUAAAGUUUGCAAACUGAAUUUUGUUAGCGGCAGUCCUGACAGUCAACUUACAUGACCAAGAUCUGCUGCUGGUUUGUGACAAAGAAUCAUAUCAGCACCUACUGUUUGGAAAUUACAAGAACAGAAGACCUGAAUCAUUUGCAUUUCUUAAAAUUACACUUCAAGAAAAAACUCCAGACCUUAGAGAUAGCUUCUCUAGUUACAGCUGCUGGAUCUAUCCAGGACGAAUAAACAUACAAACAAAGAGAGUAAGAAGGGAAAGGGAGAAUAGGAAACACUAACAUGGACAGAUCUUUAAAUAAAUACAGCCACAGCAGAUGCAUAACCGCCAUAGUCCAAGCCAAGACUGCACAAACAGCCGUGUGAUCUCUUCAAAUCUUUAUUGUGAGAUAUCAGAGAUCUUGUUGAAAUAAAAAGCGUCACUGUAGCCUCUGUUCUGUGUGUCUGUCUCUCUGUCCGCUUGUCUGUCACUGCAGUCCAGAUGUCAGAGGAACCAGCCAACAGCUGUGACAGGAAAUGAGCCCCCAGGCAGUGAAAAGGCCAGUACACUUCCACACGAAACAAAGCCAAAUAUGCACACACACAUGCGCACACACACACACACACACACACACACACACACACACACACACACACACACACACACACACACACACACACACACACACCACUGUGCGAUUCUGAGCAUCUCAAUGACCAUGUUCCUCUAAGAUUCUCCAUGGGUGUAUAAAUAUCAGUAAAACACAAAACAAGGUAUUGUGUGACAGUAACAGUAUUUGUGUGUUCUCAUUGUUGGAUUCAUCAUUUUUAAGUCAAAAUGUGUGUAUAUGGGUGAUAUUAUGCCAGCCUGCCACAUCGCCAGCCCCCGAGCCAGCGGGAACAUUUGCCUUGUGGCUUCAAUUCCCAGGAAUCCCUAACCUGCGCCAGCUGUUGAGAACAUGUUACCUGUGCCAACAAUGUGCCGCCUCUGCCCACCACAUCAGCUGCCGCUCUGUCUCCAUCUGGGUGCAAAAUUGGAUUUUUGUGCAUGUUGUUGUUUGUCAGUGGCUUACUGUAUCUUUAACUCUCGCCACAUCUGUAUUUGUACUCACAUCUGCCUCUCUCAUGUGCAGAGUGUAACUGUGUUUAUGCACGUAUUGAUGUUCCUGAUGUUGUCUGCUCUGCAUGUCUAUGUGUAUGUGUAAACUCUGUGUGAGUAUGUGUGUCUCCAUCUGUGUGUGCGCCGGGCCUCCCUUGCCUGCAUCUGGAGCGCCAUUGAAGAGGCUAUCCAACAAGCCUGCCAAACAGCCCAGAUGUUAGUUCUGUAAGCCUCGGGCUAAAUGGGGGGGAGCCAUACUCUCUCUAUACAGGGAUAGUAAAUUACAACCUUUUUUCAAUUACAACCUUGUUUUUAAUACUUCCUAUGCUGAUCUAUCUAUCUAUCUAUCUAUCUAUCUAUCUAUCUAUCUAUCUAUCUAUCUAUCUAUCUAUCUAUCUAUCCAUCUAUCUACAAUAAUAAAUACAUGUAUACAAAUGAGCUUUUAACGUGUCUUACUCAGUCAGUACAUUAACAUGCAUAGCCAAGUCGAACUACAAUUAUAGUUCAACUAGGCGAUUUUUAAAUGGACCACUGUUCUUAUACCAGUUUACAAAGACAAAAUUAAAAUACUGAGACAAAAGUGUCUUCUGCAGCUAUGAUAAGUGCGGACAUGCCUCCUUUCAGCUUGCUACUGUCAGGUUGUCUUCUGGCUGACAUAUCACGUAUUGGACAGUCUUUUUAAAGUCAUUUCUUUGUUUGUCAAGGUGUUGUUUACUACCUGCCUUCCUUGCAAGAAAUCCAUAGAAAUCCAAUUCAAUUUCUGGUUUUAAGUGCGUGAACACUUGAGCAUGCGCAGAACGAAUCGUUACCCGGGUGUAUUUGUCCAACAAUGAGAAGUUAGAUUUUGUGUGAUUUCAGUCAGAUUAAUGUUUUCCAGUUUUUGUUGUUAUCUUCUUUUGUUUAAGAUUCAUGUCAAGUAUUUGACUCUUAAGAAGCUAAAUGCUCCAACGUGAUCGACCAGCUAGGUCCUAACUGUGUAGGGUGCUAUCUGGUGCUGAACAGAUUGGUAUAAAGGGCUUUUAACUCGUUCAUGAAACUGAACCAAAAUGGUGAACCAAAACAGUGAGCUGACAGACAGAUACUGAGCACAACUGGAUGAUAAAUGUCAGUUGGUUUCUUGCUACAAGUCACUCUUUUUGCACUAAAAAACUCAUUUGAGUUAUUUUCAUAAUUUCAAGCACUCCUGCUUUAAGGUAGGAACUCAUUUAAAUCACAUUAAACUUUCCCUGAACUAAGCGAAUAUCUUUGAAUUUUCAGAAGCAGAAAGCACAGGUGAAUGCCGUUCUACAGUUACUGGAAAGAAAACAUUAUCACAAAUCAAUUUUGGUGACUGUUAUUGAGCAAUGAAUUUACUUUUGUAAAUGUAUUACUGUACAGUAAGCCUUGCAUGUCAACAUCUUGUAUUUUUAUACAAAUAAUCACCAACGUCCUCUGUCGCGGUGGAAUAGAUAAAAUGAUAAAGUAGGUUAUGUUACAGCUAUCUCCUGUCCUUUUUGUAAACAUUAAAGAUGUUUUUCCUGAUAACCUUUAGCAGAGACCCCUGAAAACAUGCUCUCCGUAAACAGGAGAGCAGUUGGGAGAUAAAAACAAAACACGCUCAUUCACCAUCAAACAGUCAGACACAAUUAGCCUGAUCAUCUGGACGGAUGUAGCUGUGAUGUUGGGGCAGUUUUGGCUGUCCAUGUGUGUGUUUGUGGUGUGUGUGUUUGUGUGUACCAUAGUGACCACAGAGGUGGCAUCUGCCAGAGCGGCUUUAGCUCUGUUUGUGAGAUCCAUGUGUGUGGACUUCCACAGAGCUUAAAGAACGUCCGCUUUUCCCCCCAUAUGGUGAGCUGUCACAGGGGUGACACUGUGCUGCCCUCCCCUAUGUGAGACAGCCUUCAUACUCACUGAGUAAACAACAACUGGACAUGGGGUGAUGCUGUUGUAGUUGUUGGAAUAUCAUCAUUUAUUCCUCUCUUAAACCUGUGAGGAAAGAUUACACACGUCAUCAGAAAAUCAGCUUCUACGGUCAUAUGUCAGUAUUUAUGUCUCAGUGAUACCCAAAAUCUGUUGAUGGUUUUUGUAAAACACUCCUCUGUCAACAAAUUCAAUCCCACAGAGCUUUGCAAAACAGAUUAGACUGCUCGUUUUACAGAGGUCUAAUUUGUCUAACCAUUCGGUAUCAAAUGAUACAAACUGAUUCAGUUUGAAGGCUUUAGCAAUAACGUCCUUUUAUAGUCACUGGAAUGAAAAGAAAAAAUGUGAAAGGAGAGAAAAAAGUAAUCUCUGUAAAUUUACUGAAUCAGCCAUACUUUCUCUGAGUCUGCACCGACAACUGUCUAUCAAACACAGCUCACGACACAUUUGGGAAAUGCAAAUUGCUGAAAGAAGAACAUGAGCAAGAGACGUCUCCUCCCACGACAGAUAUCUGUCCCUUUCUCUUCCUGCACACAGAUGUUACACAGCAGUUUGUUAUGAGAGGGAGUCGACGACAACUCUUUCUGUGUCUCCCUGAGGAGCGGGUAGCCUGGGGAGAAUCACAUUUACACAUUAAGUGUUAAUGUGUCUCUGUGAGCGAGUGUGUGUGUGAAGACAAAAGGGAGGAGGAGACUGAGAGAGAGAGAUGUGUCUUACAAAGGCAGUAAAGGGGGCGCAGACCAGAAAUAGGAAGUGACAGGACUGGAAACCAGGGGCCCUCAGGGGCUAUUGGAGGCUUUUGAGGUGUGUGUGUGUGUGUGUGUGUGUGUGCAUGUGUGUCGGAGGGGGUUACUGCUGCUCUAUCCUCUGGCUGUGCUCAUACUGUGUGUGUUUUUGGUGUUAAUCUCACCCAGUUGUUGGAAAGUCAAACACAGCCUGUGCACCCAGAUGUUGACAGAUGUGCUGUGCACAAUCUAACUUCCUCUUAAACUCACACUCACAGUCACACACAAACACAAACACAGUAAGAGAUCAUGAAAAUCUCCUUCCAGCCCUCCUCUCUAGAGACAGUCUUCUUGGCUUGUGUGUUAGAGAUUUGACAAAUACUACAGUAUUUCCAAAUACUGCCUGCCAAGUGGUGAGCUGCUGUGGUCCCAGGAGGGCCAUAUCCGCUGUGCUGUCCCAGAUGUUCUUUUAAUAACGAAAACAAACAAAAUUUCACUCAUCCAGAUGUGUUUACUUCAUAUGAUGUGAUCUCAGAGAGGUGGAGAGUCGAAUGACAGAUAGACAAACAGCUGGAGCCGUCAGUAUAACUGUAACUAAUGCAGCUCUCCCUAGUGGCCUGGAGUGGUGCUUGCACACAUGCAGCUGUGCACAUGCAGGGAGGAUGUGGGAUACUGGGAGUGUUGGGACAUUUAGAUGUCAUCUGUCACUGGUUGAGCUGGUGCUGAUGUUUGAGUGUUUCAGCUGUUAUUUUUCAUCCUGUCACAUCCUGUUUGUCCUGCCCUGUCAAUGAGUGAGUUUAACAAACAGCUUUAUCCUGCACUUGUAUUUAUUAUGAUUUUUUUUCUUGAAUGUUAUAAGGUUAAUCUAUUCAUAUUAUUCAGUUGGUCUAUUGUUUCUUUCUUUUGAAGGUUUUUUAAAAUUCAUUUCUAAAUGAUAAGCACUGCAUUAAUAAGAUUAAUUUGCAGCUCAAGAAAAACAUCUAUGAUCAUUACUCAUUUCCUAUAAUCACCAUAUUAAUGGACUGCAGACGCGGUAGUUCUUUUGCCUUAGUGUCUCGGUCUGAUUGCAUUUCUAAGUGGAAAUUAUCAUAAGUGUUCCUCCUUGAGCUGCGCACCCCCGCUGCAGUCAAUGGACUCGCCCAUAGGACUCCGUACAAACAAGCGGCUGCUGAAAGAGAGUGGGUGAGUCUCUUUGCUAAAGAAAUUCAGCAAAGUUGAAAAGAUGUUUGGUGGCUAGUGCUAUGGCUGGGACCCCAUAUGAACUGUUGAUGAAGUUAGGUGCUGUUCUGAGCGUUAUUUGUGGCUAUAGAGUGGCGUUUUGGUUGAGCGCGUGGCUCUCUAUAUUGCCAUCGUGAGGUUUUUCAAGGAUACUUAGAAAACGUACAGUAUUUACAGCCUCACUUUUGAUCACUUCAGACAAGCAAGUCAUCAGAUGAAACACACCUUCAAACAAACAGACCCCUACUGCGCUGGGCUUCAGUCUAACCACCCCAACACACAGCCAAAACAAAGAGCACAUCCACUUCAUGUUACUGUUAACAUCAAACUCAGAAGGGAGGUAACACAAGUUUACCUGAUAGCUGUGCAACAAUUCACUUUAAACACUGAUAGCUGCUUUGACAGGAGGUGAUGCUCUUUGGUUGGUGUGUUUGCUGUGGCUCUGCUCUUAAGUAUCAAGAAUUCAUUAUUUGUUGUUGUUUUUGGUCACUCUGGUAUUUUCUUUUAUUUAUCAGCCGCUGCGGAAACCAUCUCAUUCCUGAACUGUCUCAGAGUUUCUAAGUUUAGCCCUACAUCACCUCACUACAAGGUCACACCUCAGCAGCAGCAGCAGCAGCACCUCAGCUCCUCUCUGGAACAGAAACAGAUCAAAGUUCUCCUCCCUCUCCUGCUUUCUCUCUCUCUCUCUCUCUCUCCCCCUUUCUCCUUGUCUUCCUCAAUGCUUCAUUGACUCUACCCCUAAGCAUAACAUACACUGAUGGCACCCAGUGGAUCUCCAGCAUGCAGCUGGAAAAGCCUUGACAGAAAAGGAGUGAGAGAGUGUUUAAGACAGAGACAGAGAACUUCCAUGCUCAUGCCUUACUGGUUAUAAUCCAGAGGUGUUCAUAUCACUAAAGGAGGAAUGUUGGGUUUUUUGGCUGCUCCAAAUAUCUCAUGCAGGUAAUGUCCGGCUUCAAAUACAGGGACCCACAUACCUAAUAAUCACUUCAAGAUAUUUAUCACAGCAGCUACGCCAAACCAUCUAUGAAAGUGGACAAACCACUUAAGCAGAAGCUUCUAAGUUCAUUCUGUCAUCCUGUAAACAAAUGUAACAAUAUCCUUCAAAGUGUAGACUCAUUGUUACGGUCACUGCCAAGAGCACUAACAGUAAAUCAAAGCUUUUACUCUGUGGCUCAGCUCUCUCUUUAUCACCUUGCUGCAAAAUGACUCUUACAUUACUGCAGCAGCUGCCGCUAAGCAGCAGUCAAUCACAUAGUUGCUUUUACCAUCACUCAUAAAAAAAGCUCUGCCUUUACAUGCUGUCACAGGUACUAGAAACACCACAUGCAGACACAGACUUUGAAAAUGAACAUCUGCCAGGGCCGAUAGGAAGAGCGCGCACUUCCACGCUGAUCUGCAUAUUUCAGUGCUAACACGCUAACACCUGUGCACCAAACAUUGUCCGUGUGCUUUCAGAAUUUUGCAGUUGUGGUGAUAACUGAAUCAACAACAACUUACUGAGCAUGUUUUAUUUCAACUGAUAAAGGAUUGACUGUGUCUAAAAAAAAACAAAAAAAAAACAAUGGUUUGGAGUGCAAAGACACUUGAUGCAAGCAUUUCAUGAUAAAAACUAUGAAAUAAAGAGUUUUAAAUCUGCACUCGGGAUAUGUUAAAAGCUGAAAUUCAAGAUAAGUUCAAAUUUAUGUAAAUUUAAGUGGGUGCCUUACUGUCUUCAUGAUUUUGAACUUUGAACUCAUGGAAACAGCUUCAAAACUUAAUAUGUCUGACUAACUUUACCACCUUUGCCCUUCCUGAACUUAAUUCAUCAAUUUCUUGGCCAAACCACCAACCUGCCUUCUAGACCCAAUACCAGCAGAGCUGCUGAGGGAAAUCCUUCCCUUAGUUAGCUCUGUGUCUUUAUUGGCAGGCUAUGUACCACUGUCAUCAAACAGUAUCAGUCUGCAUAUCACGAAUUUAAAAUUUGCAUAUCUAGUUGACGUUUAUUACCUAUAUAGACCUUUCUGGAAAUCUCUGAGCUCCCUUGUUUUGUGGGUUCUUUAUAUGGACCUGCCUGACUCCAGCUGCUACAUUAAUAUCAGCCUUACUGUUAUAAUCACUGUAAAAAUGCUUAUUUCAAUUUUAGAAAAGCUUGACCGCUACAAUCGAUGUAUUCCUAUUAUCAUUAUUAGUAUUCUGAUAUCAGAGCAGUUCACUUUAACUUCCUUAAAUAUUAAGUACUAUAUAAAUGAAGAGCACUGAUUGGUUGAUAUACUUGUGAUUAAACCUAAGACUAGAAUUUUUUAUAUAUAUUUUUGUAAAUAAAAGCAGAAGUAUUAGAAAAACAGAGCUAAGAUUUGGCCACAAUAGAUAAACUUUUCAAGUGAAGAUAAUGGAUGACUGGUGGUUUGAAAUGUGAGUUUAUGGCAAUGUGUGUUUAAAUUUUUUUUUUUAUUAUAGAAUAAAGUGCAUAAUUGUAGUUUCUCACUGCGAUAAAGAGGUUAUUGCAGUAUAAUUGCCACUCAUGUGAAUUAAUUUAAAAUCUGCUUUCACUCCUCUGGCCCCCAGCCCCUCUUUUUUAGGGCAGAGCAGCUGCACAUCGCAAAGAAACCUGAGAAACCAGAUUGCUCCAACCUGGGGGUGGAGGGUGAGGCUGAGUACACAGGACAAUGAGUGUGUGUUUUGCACGAGAAAGGGUCAGGGG